GUCCACGCCCUAAACUGUGAAAACUAGGUACAGGGAGUAUCGACCCUUCCUGCGCCGUAGCUAACGCGUUAAGUUUUCCGCCUGGGGACUACGGUCGCAAGACUAAAACUCAAAGGAAUUGACGGGGCCCGCACAAGCAGCGGAGCGUGUGGUUUAAUUCGAUGCAACACGAAAACCUUACCAAGGUUUGACAUGCUGGAAGUAGAGAACCGAAAGGCCAUCGACCUGUUAAGUCAGGAGCCUGCACAGGUGCUGCAUGGCUGUCGU
rnacentral:rRNA from 1 species